AUAUACACACACAUAUAUGUAUAUGUGUAUAUAUAUAUAUACAUAUAUAAAAGCACAAAAAGGGAAAAAAAAACGAAGAAAGCAGAUGAAUGAGUGGAAUAUGCAGGAGGUAUUCUGCUAUUGUUUAUGAUCUGGUGUUUUGAAGGGAGCUAUGGGAGCUAAGUGCUUGAAGCUUCAGAGGGGAUUCACACCAUUUCACUGUGGCUCAACUGAAGAGUGAGUGUCAAGCAAAACAGAACAGAAGAACCAACUAACCUUAAUUGCAGAGAAAUAGAGGAAAUUUGAAGAACUGUUUUUGAAAAAGAAAUCUACUUUGGGAAUUUGUUUUUCACUUUCCCAGGAAGCCACCUGUGCUGUACUCUCUUGUGAGAGCCAGCUUCACCUUGAUACAGCCUGGCCCCUCUAUGGGAUAGGAGGUUGAAGGACUGCAUGGAAAGAAGCUGAGCUGGUGGACAUGAGGAGAAGCAGUAAGAGAAAACUGAAGCAUCUCAAAUGCUGGGCAGAGCACCUAUGCUGGAACUGGAGCUGUGAGACAACUAGAAGAGCCUCUACAGGAUUCCCAAGCACAUGUGGUAGUCCAAGCAUUCGAGUGGGCAAGCUGCAGGUAGAGCCUGGGCAUUCCCGGUGACAGUUUGUCAGCUCUGUUUCCCAAGCAUACAUCAAUUUCAACCUUGAAAGAGUGUGAAUGGAAGUAGCUGAAUCCUGAGUGAGCAGCUGAUGAACGUGGGAACAAGCACUACUCUCCCUCGGAGACUGGGAAGGAAAUCACAACUAGCAAUCCAUGAAGCACUUUCAAAUCCAUGGCCCCUCCUGACCCCAUCUACUUGCGGUCUCUGGCAGCAGCCUGUAAUGCCCUGCGCUUCAGAGGAAAGUGAGUUUGUCCUCUGCCCCUGCCCCUGCACAUCAGAGAUGCUCAUGUUCUGUACAAGGCU
rnacentral:lncRNA from 1 species